GUAGAAUGAUAUAGAUAAGUAUUGAGUGAUCUAGAGAAUGGAUAUUUUUGUAGAAUUGUGUAGAAGGUGAUUUGCAGCCAUUAGAUUGGAUAAAUCUUAGCCAUUGAUUGAGGAAAUGACCAAGUAUAAAUAAGUGUAGAAUUGUUUAUUUUGUAUCAAGCCAAAAAAAUCAAAAAUAAGUUUGAGCAAUAAAAGUUUCUCUUCUCCAAAAUCUUUCUACUCUUCCAAAAUUCCCUUAACCUAAAAGCCUCCCUCCAAAUAUUAAUAGCAAUCCUCUUCCAACAAUCACUACAUCUCUGUCUUGAAUUUGUUGAGUGAUAAUUUUGAUGACUUAUUCAAGUUGCCCAAGAGACUAUCCUUGUUUGAUGAUUAAGUUUUAGUAUUAUUCUAAUUCUUUGAGAGUGAUUUUGAAAAGUCCAACUUACCUACGUCGUUUAGCUAUACUAAAUAUUAUAAUGAGUAGUUAAUCAGUUUGUUGUGGAGUUUGAUUUAACAUAUGCAUUACGGAAAAAAAUAUGCGUCAUUUCAUAGCAACUUUGAAUAAAUAUGUGUCAUUAAAAAUGCACGUCUAUUUACUCUUAGUUUAUUACAGCGCCACUUCCUUAUAAGGAAAAAUAAUAUAAUAGUAUUCCAAUCAGGAUGCUCAAAAAACUAUGUUAGAGUUAGAGCACCACCUGAUUAACUUGAAAAGCGUUUGAAUUUAAUAGGAUUUAAGUUUACUGAAUGAAGUUACUAUUAAAUACCUCAUGAGUCAUGAAAGCCCAGGAAAGCUCGAUCAAAACCACACGUGCGAUUUCUCUUAUUCAGAUUCGUGAUAAUAUGCUAUAUUUACAUGAAAUUUGAUGUGUUUUACCCCGACUUUAAUAUGUUUUUUUAGGUGCUUGAAGGUUGAUAUAUGAUAAAUUGAGCUUAAUACGGUUGAAGUUUGUAUAUAGGAAGCUAAGAGUGGGAAAUAGAGAUAAUCUGAGGGGAAUGAAGCUAAAAGGGCAAAUUCUAAAGAAAUAAAAAUGUGUACGGUAAAAUCAGAGGGUCCAAUUUCCCUGUUAUUAUAAUGCCCCGCAAAUAUACCUCUCACAGCUCAAGGCAAGGGUCGAGGUUUACUUUCAAGGGCUGUCGAUGCUCGACAUCGGGGCAAUGCAGACCAACGGCUAUAUUGGAAAAGAGGGGAGUUCCCAAGGCGACAAAGUCUGUCAGGCUAGUCUGAACCCGCAUCAUGACGUCAACUAGCUGUCACAUCUCUAUAUCCUUAUAAUAAAAAAGUUUGUACUAUGAUGGGAUCAUCCCUUUCUAUAAAAAGGGGUCUUUGCCAUAUUGUAAGGAUGGAUUGCUCCAUAUGAA
rnacentral:lncRNA from 1 species